CGAUGCAUAGCCGACCUGAGAGGGUGAUCGGCCACACUGGAACUGAGACACGGUCCAGACUCCUACGGGAGGCAGCAGUAGGGAAUCUUCCGCAAUGGGCGAAAGCCUGACGGAGCAACGCCGCGUGAGUGAUGAAGGUCUUCGGAUCGUAAAACUCUGUUAUUAGGGAAGAACAUAUGUGUAAGUAACUGUGCACAUCUUGACGGUACCUAAUCAGAAAGCCACGGCUAAGUACGUGCCAGCAGCCGCGGUAAUACGUAGGUGGCAAGCGUUAUCCGGAAUUAUUGGGCGUAAAGCGCGCGUAGGCGGUUUUUUAAGUCUGAUGUGAAAGCCCACGGCUCAACCGUGGAGGGUCAUUGGAAACUGGAAAACUUGAGUGCAGAAGAGGGAAGUGGAAUUCCAUGUGUAGCGGUGAAAUGCGCAGAGAUAUGGAGGAACACCAGUGGCGAAGGCGACUUUCUGGUCUGUAACUGACGCUGAUGUGCGAAAG
rnacentral:rRNA from 1 species